rnacentral:rRNA from 1 species
UACGUAGGGUCCGAGCGUUGUCCGGAGUUACUGGGCGUAAAGCGCGCGCAGGCGGCGGUGUAAGCAUGGCGUGAAAGCCCCCGGCUCAACCGGGGAGGGUCGUCGGGGACUGGUUGGCUUGAGGGCGGUAGGGGCCGGUGGAAUUCCCGGUGUAGUGGUGAAAUGCGUAGAGAUCGGGAGGAACACCAGUGGCGAAGGCGGCCGGCUGGGCCGACCCUGACGCUGAGGCGGCGAAGGCGUGGGGAGCGA